rnacentral:rRNA from 1 species
AGAGUUUGAUCAUGGCUCAGAGCGAACGCUGGCGGCAUGCUUAACACAUGCAAGUCGCACGGGAGGGCAACCUUCAGUGGCGGACGGGUGAGUAACGCGUGGGGAUCUGUCUCCGGGUGGGGGAUAACGAUGGGAAACUAUCGCUAAUACCGCAUGAAACCCGAGGGUCAAAGGCGCAAGUCGCCUGGAGAGGAACCCGCGUACGAUUAGCUUGUUGGCGGGGUAAAGGCCCACCAAGGCGACGAUCGUUAGCUGGUCUGAGAGGAUGAUCAGCCACACUGGGACUGAGACACGGCCCAGACUCCUACGGGAGGCAGCAGUGGGGAAUAUUGGACAAUGGGCGCAAGCCUGAUCCAGCAAUGCCGCGUGAGUGAAGAAGGUCUUCGGAUUGUAAAGCUCUUUCGACGGGGACGAUGAUGACGGUACCCGUAGAAGAAGCCCCGGCUAACUUCGUGCCAGCAGCCGCGGUAAUACGAAGGGGGCUAGCGUUGCUCGGAAUGACUGGGCGUAAAGGGCGCGUAGGCGGUUCGUACAGUCAGACGUGAAAUUCCCGGGCUCAACCUGGGGACUGCGUUUGAUACGUACGGGCUUGAGUUCGGAAGAGGGUCGUGGAAUUCCCAGUGUAGAGGUGAAAUUCGUAGAUAUUGGGAAGAACACCGGUGGCGAAGGCGGCGACCUGGUCCGAUACUGACGCUGAGGCGCGAAAGCGUGGGGAGCAAACAGGAUUAGAUACCCCCGUAGUCC